ensembl:ncRNA lncRNA:CR45004 long non-coding RNA:CR45004
ACUUGACAUGAUCUUGCCGAGAAAUAUUGAAAUCACUCUGGGAAAUUCACAGUUUAAGCAGCUUUCGAAUCUCAGCGUAAAAUCAAAUUUUGAAAGCACCAGUUUAUUAAUAUACACGUAUUUUCUCUACUUUCUCACUUUUAGUGGCUGCACUUUUGCGGAAAAUAUUCAAUGCAGUUUUGCAAUUAUGUUGAAUGUUUGGCUAAAAAUGAUUUCGGGAUGCCUGUGUCAAAGAAAAUCUGACAGGGCGAAUGUAGUAGCCAUAAAACUAAUUAAGCAAACUGAAAAGCUAUAUAAUAUACUCAUAUAUGGCUCAUUAUAUUAUAUAUGCCUUUCAAGGAAAUGUACCUUAAAAUAGAAAUUGUGUCAAAGCGCCAAUUUAAAAAUAUUAUUUGGGGGCGUUGACAGUUUAUACAUAAUGAGUUCAAACUAUGUCAAGUUGAGAACGCGAUAAGAGCAAUUAUAUUUGGUGGAUAUAGUCCGAUUUUAUAUGGCAUUUUCUUUGUCACUGUCCGAUUUUCAUAAUGAAAACGAAAUAUAAUUGCGACUUUACGGGGCGUGAAUAUUGUACAAUACAUUUUUUAAAUGCGUUUCUGCAGCACUUUGGUUUCAAUGAGCAGUGAGCAUUUCCUGCUCCUUUAUCCACGUGAUUAAGUCGCAGUCAGAUGAUAACUUUUCCUCAUUUCUUUGGAAUUUCCCAUUUUCGUCACAAGAAUUAAAUGUGAAAUAAAAAUUCGUACAAAAAUAUCCCUGUUUGCCUAGUCUGUUUUUUUAUCUUGACCAGAUGUUUACACUUGCCUUCAUUUUAACAGACAGACAUUUACAUUUUGAUUUAUGUUUUUUUUCUGAGUUAAGUAAGCUAAGAAUAACCCUUUAUUUCCUUCCCUUAACUUCGUAUUAUUUUAAAGUCCCAUUUAACCGUUUAAAUGAAUCCAAUACGUGGCUAAUACACAAUGUGAACAACAACAACAGGUAUUAUGCCCAAAAAUACAAUUCCCGAGUAAACAGAAAAUAAUUCAACAAUUCGCUUUUGACAUAAUCAAAAGCAAAUACAAAUAAGGCUGAAAGACGAAGCAAGUGCAUUUUGAAAUGCAAGUAACUGACCUGAGCAAAUAAAAAGUAUUGAGCUGCACUGAUUUUGUAGUCUCAAUUGGGUACUAUGUAUUCCAUACAAUAUUAUAUCUAUUAAAUUAUAACCAAGCAAAUAAAUAAUUGUUGCAGGAACGGCUCAUCUUCAAUGCCUCAAACCGGAAACUCAAGAUGACAGUCGGGAUGGGGAAAACGAAGUUUUUGAGUGGACUUGGCCCACCUCGAAUCUCUCGAGGCGUCACGAACAAAGUGGUUCGAGAAAUGUGAGAAAAAGGGCUCCAUUCGAGGGGCAGCAUGCAACAAUUAGCGCACAUUUGAAUGCAUUUUUAUUGCAUAAUAAAGCCGAUGCCGAGAGUGUCCAUCGCCAUCGCUAGCAGUUCACUUAGCUCUUUGCAGCGUUUUCGUUUAAAAGUCCCGAGCUAAUUAACCGAAAUGGGCAACUGUUAGUUCCUCUUUCUCUCGGCUUUUCGGAAAAGUGCAUCAAAUGGGCGCUGCGAGAAGUGUUAAAUGCCUCCGAUUCGCCAGCUUCGAAGCUGGCGAGUGACUCCCAUUCGAGUUGGCCCAACCAACAUGUAUGCAAAUUCACCUCCUAUAGCCAGGUAUUCUGUAAUAAUUAUUGGCCUGCACCGCGAGUCUUGUCAACAACGCAACGCCCACAAUCGCCCAAAAACUCCCAGGUCUCAAGAAGGAAAACUCCCCAGCUGGCUACACAUAUUUAUGACUUGUCUGAACAACAACGCCGAGUUGGGUAUUCAAACUGUCUGCCUGGGCAGUAAGUCAAGUCAAGCCAUGUGAGCCAUUUUGGGUUAGUCUGGCCGUUCCGGCAGUUGCGUUUUCUUGAUACUUUUUAACCAACUUGUCUACACGUUGGUCGGGAAUUUCAGGCUUUUCUUUUCAGCUCAAUUUUGAAUAAAUUAUUAAACGCAACAUGUUCCAAGCAACGACGUGAAAAGUGCCUCAGUUUCUAAGGAGUGCGAAAAGUGAAAAUAUGUUAUGAUUACAGGCCGAACUCUCGCUGAAAACUGAUUGAUAUACUAUUCGAUCGGAUCUAAGCAGGAAUUUCUGUCCUAGUACCUUUAACUAAUGACAAUUAACUAAUGUAAAAUUGCGUGAAGUUUAACCAAAACAAAACUGUGAGCAUGAAAAAUUAAUCUCAAUUGCAGUUUCAAUAUGAACUAUGAAUCUUGUCUGGACUGCGGCCAAGAAUUAUGCGUUGAAAUAGUUUUAAUGUCUUUUGCAUUUAUUCUGGGACAACAUUGAAAUGUCGCACGCACAUAAAAUAUAUCGUACACAAUAAAAACUAAAUACUUCUUUGUAUAGUGGGUCUGUUUACCCAUUUACAAUUACUAUAGAUCGAGCAUCUAGUGUUUGUUCCUCCCAAAUCGACGACUUCUGUUUGCUCUGCGCCAAAAUUUGCACAACUCAGAGUGGCUACAAAUAGUGAUUUGAUGAACUAACCGAAUUAUAAACAUUUCGAGCCAGUUUGGCCUAAUGGGUAUCCGGUUGGCAGAUCAAACAGACAUUAACUCAGCCAAAGCCUCAAUCAAUAUUGCCACUUGGCAAACUGAAGGUGUUGGCGGAAAUAAUUGCAAUUAAGAGCUAUUAUUCAUGUUUACUCGAUCGACAUGCGAAAUCAAUUUGGCCUCAACUCGCUUUAAGGAUAAAUGGGGACGAUUUAACAAGGAUCUCAGCUGUGAUUUUCGAUAGUUUGAAGUCCUUUCAAGGACUUUCUUAUGCCACACACAGAGAAAAUACAUAAAUACGCGCAGAUAACAUGUUUAUUUAAAUGAAAUGCAUCUCACUUAACAAUGUAUUUUGUACACGAUUUAUUGGAUUGGACUGGUUUAGACAAAUAAUUGCAUAUCGAUUAGUUUUCUCUGUGCUUCGGCAAUUACUUGUAGGUUCCGAACUAAAUCAAGGGUCUUGGUGAAAAGUGCACUGCGGGCACAUCUACGAGUACGCGGACAACGCGAACGCGAUCGCUCACAAGGAUAACGAGGAUACUAGAUAGUGAAUCCGACUCCGACUCGCGAUCCCAAACACCCAGCGACGGGAGGAUGAGGAUGAGGUGGCACCACCGGCGUGGUAGCGGUGCACACGAUCGCACCACUGGAAAUCGAAAUGAGAACUGAACGUAUUACGGAGUCGGCUCUAGGUAAUUGUGGUCCAAGUGCGCAGAUAUAUUUGCCGCCACAUCUCGGAGAGCACCGCACCGGGCCAACAAGCUGCGACUCCCAGAGCCACAACUACCAUGCUCAUAGUGAGAGAGAGUGAGUCGGGCAGAGAGCAUUACCUCAGCACAUCCGAGUCCGAAUCCACAGCCACAUCCACUUCGACAUCUCGCAAUCAUCUCGGAUCGGCCUGCACUUGCACAGGUGAGAAGCGGCGGCUGCAUUUUGCCGGCAAACUUGUCGCCCAGGUUACCCCCCCUCCAUCUUGGCAAGAAACUAACGCCUCCGUGUGUGUUGGCUCCAAAACACCCAAUUGAUGGCCAGAAAGGAAAGCCCCUAAAAGUGCCAAUGCUUCAAAUGCGCUCAGGUGCGAGCAGAUCAUUUUUCAAAGACCGCUUCUCGAGGAAGUUGCUUGUAUCGCUAGUAUGACGGAUAAAUCGAUUAUUGCAAAUGAAUUACUUUUU